UACGUAGGCAGCGAGCGUUGUUCGGAGUUACUGGGCGUAAAGAGUGCGUAGGCGGUUUUCUAAGUUUGGUGUGAAAUCUCCCGGCUUAACUGGGAGGGUGCGCCGAAAACUGGAAGGCUUGAGUAUGGGAGAGGUAAGCGGAAUUCCUGGUGUAGCGGUGAAAUGCGUAGAUAUCGGAAGGAACGCCGGUGGCGAAAGCGAUCCGCUGGCCCUCUACUGACGCUGAGGCGCGAAAGCCAGGGGAGCAAACGGG
rnacentral:rRNA from 1 species